UACAGAGGGUGCGAGCGUUGUCCGGAAUCACUGGGCGUAAAGGGCGCGUAGGCGGUUUGGCAAGUCUAUGGUGAAAGCUCGCCGCUCAACGGCGAGUCGGCCACGGAUACUGCUGAACUCGAGCACUGUAGAGGCAGGUGGAAUUCCGGGUGUAGCGGUGGAAUGCGUAGAGAUCCGGAAGAACAUCGGUGGCGAAGGCG
rnacentral:rRNA from 1 species